GACGAACGCUGGCGGCGUGCCUAAUACAUGCAAGUCGAACGAACUCUGGUAUUGAUUGGUGCUUGCAUCAUGAUUUACAUUUGAGUGAGUGGCGAACUGGUGAGUAACACGUGGGAAACCUGCCCAGAAGCGGGGGAUAACACCUGGAAACAGAUGCUAAUACCGCAUAACAACUUGGACCGCAUGGUCCGAGUUUGAAAGAUGGCUUCGGCUAUCACUUUUGGAUGGUCCCGCGGCGUAUUAGCUAGAUGGUGGGGUAACGGCUCACCAUGGCAAUGAUACGUAGCCGACCUGAGAGGGUAAUCGGCCACAUUGGGACUGAGACACGGCCCAAACUCCUACGGGAGGCAGCAGUAGGGAAUCUUCCACAAUGGACGAAAGUCUGAUGGAGCAACGCCGCGUGAGUGAAGAAGGGUUUCGGCUCGUAAAACUCUGUUGUUAAAGAAGAACAUAUCUGAGAGUAACUGUUCAGGUAUUGACGGUAUUUAACCAGAAAGCCACGGCUAACUACGUGCCAGCAGCCGCGGUAAUACGUAGGUGGCAAGCGUUGUCCGGAUUUAUUGGGCGUAAAGCGAGCGCAGGCGGUUUUUUAAGUCUGAUGUGAAAGCCUUCGGCUCAACCGAAGAAGUGCAUCGGAAACUGGGAAACUUGAGUGCAGAAGAGGACAGUGGAACUCCAUGUGUAGCGGUGAAUGCGUAGAUAUAUGGAAGAACACCAGUGGCGAAGGCGGCUGUCUGGUCUGUAACUGACGCUGAGGCUCGAAAGUAUGGGUAGCAAACAGGAUUAGAUACCCUGGUAGUCCAUACCGUAAACGAUGAAUGCUAAGUGUUGGAGGGUUUCCGCCCUUCAGUGCUGCAGCUAACGCAUUAAGCAUUCCGCCUGGGGAGUACGGCCGCAAGGCUGAAACUCAAAGGAAUUGACGGGGGCCCGCACAAGCGGCGGAGCAUGUGGUUUAAUUCGAAGCUACGCGAAGAACCUUACCAGGUCUUGACAUACUAUGCAAAUCUAAGAGAUUAGACGUUCCCUUCGGGGACAUGGAUACAGGUGGUGCAUGGUUGUCGUCAGCUCGGGUCGUGAGAUGUUGGGUUAAGUCCCGCAACGAGCGCAACCCUUAUUAUCAGUUGCCAGCAUUAAGUUGGGCACUCUGGUGAGACUGCCGGUGACAAACCGGAGGAAGGUGGGGAUGACGUCAAAUCAUCAUGCCCCUUAUGACCUGGGCUACACACGUGCUACAAUGGAUGGUACAACGAGUUGCGAACUCGCGAGAGUAAGCUAAUCUCUUAAAGCCAUUCUCAGUUCGGAUUGUAGGCUGCAACUCGCCUACAUGAAGUCGGAAUCGCUAGUAAUCGCGGAUCAGCAUGCCGCGGUGAAUACGUUCCCGGGCCUUGUACACACCGCCCGUCACACCAUGAGAGUUUGUAACACCCAAAGUCGGUGGGGUAACCUUUUAGGAACCAGCCGCCUAAGGUGGGACAGAUGAUUAGGGUG
rnacentral:rRNA from 1 species